UUCUUCAGAAAAUGUGGAAUAAAAUUUAAUAUUUUAUUCUAGUUUCAUAAUUCUCAAAGUAUAUGUUUAAAUUAUUUUUCCGGUUCAUUAGGGUAUUGGAAUUUUGUUGUCUAUUUGAAUUGAAUACCAUGUCAAAUACGUGAAUUACUUGUUCUAUGGUUAAGUUUAUCAUCUGAAUGUAACUUAUGCUUGUGUGUAUAUUUGUUACUAACUGUUGUAUUGUUUAUAACUGUUUUAUGAUUUUCUUAAAAACGGAUUUUAGGAAAAUGAAUUCCUGGAAAUAUGAAAGUGAUUUCAAAAUUUCUUUUAAUUAUUUAAUGAUGAUAGUAAAUAUUUUUAGGAGUUUUUAAAAUAUUAAAAAUCUUAUUUCUAUAAGGACAUGAUUUUUAAUUAGUUUCUAAACGCAGCUAACUUCUAAAAUUUGUAUAAAUUUUGACAAAGCUCUAUAAAUCCCGAAACUUUUAUUUUAUUAGUUUUAUAAUAUGCGGAGAUUUAUAAAAUUAGUUUGGUAAUUUUUCGAGAAAGUUUUAUGGCGAGUUAUCCUGUAAAUCAACUAAAUAGCGGGUGUGUGGGUGGUUAUUCAGCUUUAAAACCAAACGUGGCAGUCUUUGGCCAAAGCACGUGACAUUGUUUUUCUUCACCGCCAUUCCUUUUCUUCCUUUUAUUUACAUCAGUCUCUCAAUCUCUCUGGCUCACCUCCCUCUCUCACCUUUUCUCUUUUUCUUCCACAAGCCACUAUCCAUUAGUUGUUUUUUUUCUUAAUCUUUCUCCGUCGUUCUCUGAUGACCGCCGUCGCGGGUUCCGACCAGGCGCCGCCGGACCGCCACCGCGUGUUUCUUCCUCUACCAUAGCCCUGCAUCAGUUAUAGAUCAGUAGAAUAGAUCAAGACGUGUAUAUCGAGAAUGUUCAGAAUUAAUCCGAUGGUGUUGCAAGUUGAAGCAAGAAUAAUCUGAGAUGACAGACGUAGAAAGAGUAUUGUCAGAAGCUGCUUAGAAAGAUAUGAUUGUGCGGUAUAGUGCUAUUAGAAUCGUGACUAGACGUCGGAGUUAAGGCAAGUAUUUCUACCCUUAGUUAAGACUAGGGAUAAAGAUGAUUCACUAAAGACUGCGCGUAAAGAGUAAUGAUAGGCAAUGAUUGCAAGUGGUUGAGUUCAGGAAAAUUGUUAGGUAGGGUAUCCGGGACGAUGUGAUUAAGACUAGAUGCAGUUGGAGUUCUGCAAUUCAAUUCAGUUGGAAAUGAGAUUUGUUUAUUUGGUUAUCAGCUACUCUUCUUAUCGAUGUUUAGCUGAUAAUGCAGUUUAAUUUGUAAUGAAAUUUGAUAGUUUUAGUUUCUGAUUUCAAUGCUGUAACCUGUAUGCGAUCCUGUUUUCAGGGGGUGAAUUUGAUUUUAAUUUAAAUCAUUUUUUUAAAAAUAUCCAGGUUUUGAAAUAUUUGUAUUUACUUUCUUUCAAAGAUACAGGUUUUAAAUUGUUUUUCUUUCAGUGACUCAAAAAUACAGGUUUUAAAUUAUUUUUAUUUACACGUGGCACCAGAUCCAGACCCCCGGAUUUGAGGGAUGUCACAGUUGGUAUCAGAGCUACAGGUUAUAAGUUAUUGAAAUCAGAAUGUAGAUUGUAAUAAUAGGUUUGAUAAAAAAAGAUUACAUGGUGAAACCUCACAUAGAGGUAUCGUAAGACUAUUUGGGGAUAGUCUUUCUGAGCAGAAUAAAAUGGGACGAGAUGAUUAAGUGUAAGUGUUAGACAUCACAAUUCCUAACUCUAGUUCUUCCGGUCCCUGAUAUAUUGACCAAUUUAGAGUUAAAUCAUUCUAAGAGGAUCGAAGUUUGACCUAUCAGCAGAACCUUCAAGCUAGAACCAGUUGAGGUCGGGCCGGUAGAGAUUCUCACAUAGUCUAAUAUAUCAUUUAUAGUAUAUGCCAAGUGUUGAGUAUUAUUUGGAGAGUCAUCUUCUGAUAGUUGUCAUAGAUAUCUAGAAUUGGUGAAAGAAUAGAGGUGUUAACAAGUCCGAGUUUAAAGCUUUGUAUAUAGUUAAGUAGUGAGCGUUAGAGCUACGUAGAAUUCGUGUUAGAUUCCUCGAUCUAGUACUCAUAAGCGAGUUAAGACGUCAACGCUCUAUGGUGAUGAUUGUAUAAAGUUGGAUAAGACUUCUGACUGACAACGCUAUCAAUGAUGGGAUCGUUAGAGGCUAUUGCUAGUCUACGAUAAUAUAUGCAAGUGAUCACAAGAACGUCAAGAAGAAUCACUAGAAUGAAAACAAGUUAUCAAAAGAAUCUAUCAAAAAGACAUUUUUGAGAAUCCUGACAAUACCUUCCACAUUGUUGAUUAUAUUGAUUUCUUUCCCCAUCAAUGAUUUGUUCUGACAUCACUUUCAUAUAGAUAUUCUAUAAAGAAUAUAUUUUCACUUUUCAUCAUUUCAAACCCUUUCAUAUUCUCUACUCUAACUGAUGUGAACAACCCUACUUAUAGGGGACACAAGGACUAUCUGUCUGUGUGAUAGAAGUUGGAUGGGACGCCAUCACUUGUGUGUGUUGUAUAUACAAGAAGGUUAACUACCUUUAGUAGUGUCUUAAUCUAGACACGCAACACUGAGUUCUUUAGAUCAUAUUGAUCUCUCAGUUAUCUCUCAUUUCAAAUGAGAUUUAUUUAACACUCUCAUAAUCAUAUGACCACAAUCACGUGACAUUUGCUUCGAAAUCUGUCAUACUUUUAAAUCUUCAAGAUUCUUGUUAUCUCUAAUAGUUUGGAGGUAUGUCAACCAAGUUGCCAACAUGAAUUAAGACUUUGUUGGAGGAAGCACCAGGGAUGAAAACGGAUGACAAUACGGGUCGAUCAACAAAAAUUUUAUAUCAGAAAGAAAAAGUAUUACGGAUUAUAGAGAUGUACGCUCUAGGUUGCUUUUCGGUGAUUCCGAGGACGGAAUCCUUUUAAGGGGGGUAGAUUGUGACGACCCGGAUUUUUCAAAAUUUAUUUUGUUAGUUUAUUUGUGAUUCUUCAGAAAAUGUGGAAUAAAAUUUAAUAUUUUAUUCUAGUUUCAUAAUUCUCAAAGUAUAUGUUUAAAUUAUUUUUCCGGUUCAUUAGGGUAUUGGAAUUUUGUUGUCUAUUUGAAUUGAAUACCAUGUCAAAUACGUGAAUUACUUGUUCUAUGGUUAAGUUUAUCAUCUGAAUGUAACUUAUGCUUGUGUGUAUAUUUGUUACUAACUGUUGUAUUGUUUAUAACUGUUUUAUGAUUUUCUUAAAAACGGAUUUUAGGAAAAUGAAUUCCUGGAAAUAUGAAAGUGAUUUCAAAAUUUCUUUUAAUUAUUUAAUGAUGAUAGUAAAUAUUUUUAGGAGUUUUUAAAAUAUUAAAAAUCUUAUUUCUAUAAGGACAUGAUUUUUAAUUAGUUUCUAAACGCAGCUAACUUCUAAAAUUUGUAUAAAUUUUGACAAAGCUCUAUAAAUCCCGAAACUUUUAUUUUAUUAGUUUUAUAAUAUGCGGAGAUUUAUAAAAUUAGUUUGGUAAUUUUUCGAGAAAGUUUUAUGGCGAGUUAUCCUGUAAAUCAACUAAAUAGCGGGUGUGUGGGUGGUUAUUCAGCUUUAAAACCAAACGUGGCAGUCUUUGGCCAAAGCACGUGACAUUGUUUUUCUUCACCGCCAUUCCUUUUCUUCCUUUUAUUUACAUCAGUCUCUCAAUCUCUCUGGCUCACCUCCCUCUCUCACCUUUUCUCUUUUUCUUCCACAAGCCACUAUCCAUUAGUUGUUUUUUUUCUUAAUCUUUCUCCGUCGUUCUCUGAUGACCGCCGUCGCGGGUUCCGACCAGGCGCCGCCGGACCGCCACCGCGUGUUUCUUCCUCUACCAUAGCCCUGCAUCAGUUAUAGAUCAGUAGAAUAGAUCAAGACGUGUAUAUCGAGAAUGUUCAGAAUUAAUCCGAUGGUGUUGCAAGUUGAAGCAAGAAUAAUCUGAGAUGACAGACGUAGAAAGAGUAUUGUCAGAAGCUGCUUAGAAAGAUAUGAUUGUGCGGUAUAGUGCUAUUAGAAUCGUGACUAGACGUCGGAGUUAAGCUAGGGAUAAAGAUGAUUCACUAAAGACUGCGCGUAAAGAGUAAUGAUAGGCAAUGAUUGCAAGUGGUUGAGUUCAGGAAAAUUGUUAGGUAGGGUAUCCGGGACGAUGUGAUUAAGACUAGAUGCAGUUGGAGUUCUGCAAUUCAAUUCAGUUGGAAAUGAGAUUUGUUUAUUUGGUUAUCAGCUACUCUUCUUAUCGAUGUUUAGCUGAUAAUGCAGUUUAAUUUGUAAUGAAAUUUGAUAGUUUUAGUUUCUGAUUUCAAUGCUGUAACCUGUAUGCGAUCCUGUUUUCAGGGGGUGAAUUUGAUUUUAAUUUAAAUCAUUUUUUUAAAAA